AGGGCGACCGGCCACACUGGGACUGAGACACGGCCCAGACUCCUACGGGAGGCAGCAGUGGGGAAUAUUGCACAAUGGGCGAAAGCCUGAUGCAGCGACGCCGCGUGAGGGAUGACGGCCUUCGGGUUGUAAACCUCUUUCAGCAGGGAAGAAGCGAAAGUGACGGUACCUGCAGAAGAAGCGCCGGCUAACUACGUGCCAGCAGCCGCGGUAAUACGUAGGGCGCAAGCGUUGUCCGGAAUUAUUGGGCGUAAAGAGCUCGUAGGCGGCUUGUCACGUCGGAUGUGAAAGCCCGGGGCUUAACCCCGGGUCUGCAUUCGAUACGGGCUAGCUAGAGUGUGGUAGGGGAGAUCGGAAUUCCUGGUGUAGCGGUGAAAUGCGCAGAUAUCAGGAGGAACACCGGUGGCGAAGGCGGAUCUCUGGGCCAUUACUGACGCUGAGGAGCGAAAGCGUGGGGAGCGAACAGGAUUAGAUACCCUGGUAGUCCACGCCGUAAACGUUGGGAACUAGGUGUUGGCGACAUUCCACGUCGUCGGUGCCGCAGCUAACGCAUUAAGUUCCCCGCCUGGGGGAGUACGG
rnacentral:rRNA from 1 species